UAGAGUUUGAUCCUGGCUCAGAACGAACGCUGGCGGCGUGGCUAAGACAUGCAAGUCGAACGGACUGGUCAAUUUAUUGGACAGUUAGUGGCGAAAGGGUUAGUAACGGAUAGGUAACGUACCCUGUGCUUUGGGAUAGCGUCAUCCCGACUUCGGUCGGGAUUUCCGAAAGGGGCGGUAAUACCAAAUAAUAUCAUUUGUCGAUAGGCAGAUGAUCAAAGAUUUAUCGGCAUAGGAGCGGCCUGUCUCCUAUCAGCUUGUUGGUGAGGUAAAGGCUCACCAAGGCAACGACGGGUAGCGGGACUGAGAGGUUGGCCCGCAACAUCGGGACUGAGACACUGCCCGGACCUCCACGGAGGGCUGCAGUAACGAAUAUUGUGCAAUGGGCGAAAGCCUGACACAGCGACGCCGCGUGUAGGAUGAAGUCUUUCGGGAUGUAAACUACUGUCAGGGGGAAGAAAGUCUGUUUCGGCAGAUUGAUCUAUCCCGGAGGAAGUCACGGCUAACUUCGUGCCAGCAGCCGCGGUAAGACGAAGGUGGCAAGCGUUGUUCGGUAUUACUGGGCUUAAAGCGUGUGUAGGCGGAAAUGUAAGCGUUGUGUGAAAGCCCCCGGCUUAACCGGGGAACUGCGCAACGAACUGGUUUUCUUGAGGCAAGUAGGGGUGCAUGGAACUCUUGGUGGAGCGGUGGAAUGCGUAGAUAUCAAGAGGAACGCCAGCGGAGAAAUCGGUGCACUGGGCUUGUCCUGACGCUGAGACACGAAAGCGUGGGUAGCGAACGGGAUUAGAUACCCCGGUAGUCCACGCCGUAAACGAUGCCUACUAGGUUGUGAAAGUUCUGACACUGGCACAGCCGAAGCAAAAGUGUUAAGUAGGCCGCCUGGGGAGUACGGUCGCAAGGCUAAAACUCAAAGGAAUUGACGGGGGCUCACACAAGCGGUGGAGCAUGUGGAUCAAUUCGAAUCAACGCGUAGAACCUUACCUGGGUUUGACAUGUUUGGAUGCCUCCUCCGAAAGGGGGAGUCGGCUGCCUUAGGGUGAAACUUACACAGGUGCUGCAUGGCGGUUGUCGUCAGCUCGUGUCGUGAGAUGUUGGGUUAAGUCCCGCAACGAGCGCAACCCCUAUCUUUAGUUGCUAACAUUAAGUUGAGGACUCUAGAGAGACUGCCAGUGGUAAACUGGAGGAAGGUGGGGAUGACGUCAAAUCAUCAUGCCCCUUAUGACCUGGGCUACACACGUGCUACAAUGGCUGUUACAAAGGGAAGCGAAGUCGCGAGGCGGAGCAAACCCCAAAAAGGCAGUCUCGGUUCGGAUUGUAGUCUGCAACUCGACUACAUGAAGUUGGAAUCGCUAGUAAUCGCGAAUCAGAACGUCGCGGUGAAUACGUUCUCGGGUCUUGUACACACCGCCCGUCACACCACGAGAGUUUGUAACACCCGAAGUUACUAGGCUAACCCCGUAAGGGGAGGCAGGUACCGAAGGUAUGGCUGGUGAUUGGGGUGAAGUCGUAACAAGGUAACCA
rnacentral:rRNA from 1 species